rnacentral:rRNA from 1 species
GAUGGACGCUGGCGGCGUGCCUAAUACAUGCAAGUCGAGCGAACAGACGAGGAGCUUGCUCCUCUGACGUUAGCGGCGGACGGGUGAGUAACACGUGGAUAACCUACCUAUAAGACUGGGAUAACUUCGGGAAACCGGAGCUAAUACCGGAUAAUAUAUUGAACCGCAUGGUUCAAUAGUGAAAGACGGUUUUGCUGUCACUUAUAGAUGGAUCCGCGCCGCAUUAGCUAGUUGGUAAGGUAACGGCUUACCAAGGCAACGAUGCGUAGCCGACCUGAGAGGGUGAUCGGCCACACUGGAACUGAGAAACGGUCCAGACUCCUACGGGAGGCAGCAGUAGGGAAUCUUCCGCAAUGGGCGAAAGCCUGACGGAGCAACGCCGCGUGAGUGAUGAAGGUCUUCGGAUCGUAAAACUCUGUUAUUAGGGAAGAACAAAUGUGUAAGUAACUAUGCACGUCUUGACGGUACCUAAUCAGAAAGCCACGGCUAACUACGUG